AACGAACGCUGGCGGCAGGCCUAACACAUGCAAGUCGAGCGAUGACUUCGGUCCUAGCGGCGGACGGGUGAGUAACGCGUGGGAACGUGCCCUUUGCUUCGGAAUAGCCCUGGGAAACUGGGAGUAAUACCGGAUGAGCCCUUUGGGGGAAAGAUUUAUCGGCGAAGGAUCGGCCCGCGUUGGAUUAGGUAGUUGGUGGGGUAAUGGCCUACCAAGCUGACGAUCCAUAGCUGGUUUGAGAGGAUGAUCAGCCACACUGGGACUGAGACACGGCCCAGACUCCUACGGGAGGCAGCAGUGGGGAAUCUUAGACAAUGGGGGAAACCCUGAUCUAGCCAUGCCGCGUGAGCGACGAAGGCCUUAGGGUUGUAAAGCUCUUUCAGCUGGGAAGAUAAUGACGGUACCAGCAGAAGAAGCCCCGGCUAACUCCGUG
rnacentral:rRNA from 1 species